rnacentral:rRNA from 1 species
GACGAACGCUGGCGGCAUGCCUAACACAUGCAAGUCGAACGGAACUUGUUGAAUGAAGUUUUCGGAUGGAUUUUAGCAAGUUUAGUGGCGGACGGGUGAGUAACGCGUGAGCAACCUGCCUUUCAGAGGGGGACAACAGUUGGAAACGACUGCUAAUACCGCAUGAUGUGUCGGGAUCGCAUGAUCCUGACACCAAAGAUUUUAUCGCUGAAAGAUGGGCUCGCGUACGAUUAGAUAGUUGGUGAGGUAACGGCUCACCAAGUCGACGAUCGUUAGCCGGACUGAGAGGUUGAACGGCCACAUUGGGACUGAGACACGGCCCAGACUCCUACGGGGAGGCAGCAGUGAGGAAUAUUGGGCAAUGGGCGCAAGCCUGACCCAGCAAUGCCGCGUGAAGGAAGACGGUUUUCGGAUUGUAAACUUCUUUUAAGAGGGACGAUAAUGACGGUACCUCUUGAAUAAGCCACGGCUAACUACGUGCCAGCAGCCGCGGU